UUAUGAUCAUCCCUUCCGUGCGUUUCCUUCAAUUUAAAAAGAUAAAAAAGGGUUGACGAGAUCAGCGACCAACAACAACCCAGCGACAAUCGAGUAAAUGGUGACCAGCCGAGAGCAACAAACGAAACUGUGCAUGAUAAUAGAGAGGACGAACGACAAACAGACGAUGAGGAGAGACGAAAUCCGACUGACGGAGACCGAGCGAUGAACCGAGAGGAUUAUUGACCACCAAAUGACGACGAGAGACAAUAACUGACAGAGCAUCUAACUGAAAUUGAAAAUUUUGUGGAAUUUUUUUGGAUUUUAUGUUUGUUGUAGAAUUUUGAGCUUGUUACGUGUUUGUGAAGUUAAAUAUUUUUUAAAUGUGAUGCUCUGUCGAAACCCUAACACAUUGCUGCCGACCUUGUAAAUAAGAAGUUGAAAACGAUUUCAUAGUGUUUGUUUAUUUUGAAUUGGGAGUUUGUUUGUUUAUUUUGUCACAUUUGUAUUUGUUUGCUGACCUGCUUGAGAAUCAUUUGUGAAGUUAAAAAUUUUUUAGUUCAUUUUGACAUUGUAUUAAGGGAGCUCUCUACAAAAAGGUUUAAUUUCUCAGAGAGUGUUUGUGACUGUGUUAAAUUCUGCAGAGACUAAUGAUGAAUGCCUAGAGAAGAGUUCUUAUCCAAUGUUGCUUUUGAACCUGCGAGAUCCUUAUUUCACCAGAAAUCAUAGUACUUCAACGACUUGGUGAUGGCUUGGAGUCAUGAUAUGGAUUUUACCCGAGUGUGUGGCUUUAGCUGCAUUCAUCGAGCCUCUCCCUGAAAUAUUGUUUGUUACACAGCUUCUUGGUAAUGAUGUGUUGUGUAGGACAUCAUCUGAUGCUGAUUAUGUGAAGCCUCUUUGAAUUUUGCCAAAUAGGUCCCUAUCUUGUAAGAUUGUGGUGAAGAGGUCAGCUUUAUCUCUGGAGGGGUUUCUGCACAAAUACUUCCUCUCAAGUUCUCCCAUUAUAACAACUAAUUGUAUGGCACUUGACCAGCGAGGACUAAGUGGAAUGAUAUUGAUUACCUGAAAAGAGUUUCUGGUGACUGCACAUUUCCAGUUGAGACUUGCGAGAUUGUUGAGGGACAGCGAUAUAUGAAAAGGUUGAAUGAGAGGCAAAUUAUGACUCUCUUGAAAGUUACAUGCCAAUGACCUAGGGAUCGAGAAAAUGACUUAUGCAGUGUUCCGGCCUUGGAUUUUGAAAUAACAUUAUUCCUUGCAAUCUUUUGUGACUAAGCAUACAAUUCAGCAAAUUGCUUAUGAUCAAGACCGUUAUGCAAAGGAGUUUGGGACCAAAAUUAGUGAAAAGUCAGCUUCUGUUGAGGCAUGGAUCCUUUCUGCUCGUUUGGUAAUCCAACCUUUUUAUAUUAUCUGGACUUGAAGAUAAAGUCAAGCAUCAAACGCUUUUGGUCAGGCAUAAUACAUGGAUUGUUAUGCUAUUUGUAACAAUUUUCUAAUUUUGAUUAUAAGGAGAGAUUAUCAUAAUAGGAAAUUUAUAGAUUUUGAUUAUGGAGACUUUAAGAUCAUUGAAAUUAUUAUAUGUUAAUAUCAUAUGUUGAGAAUCAAAUUUUUUUUUUUUAAUCAAUCUUUCACUUACAAUGAUGAUGAAACUUUUAUUGCUAUUUUAAUGAUUUGUAAAUACAGUAAUUAUGAUAAAAAUAUUUAUUGUUAAUAGUA